rnacentral:rRNA from 1 species
CAAAAACAUCGCCUCCCGCAAAAAUCAAUGUAUAGGAGGUCCUGCCUGCCCAGUGACUAUAAGUUAAACGGCCGCGGUAUUUUGACCGUGCAAAGGUAGCGCAAUCACUUGUCUUUUAAAUGAAGACCUGUAUGAAUGGUGGAACGAGGGCUUAACUGUCUCCCCCUUCUAGUCAAUGAAAUUGAUCUACCCGUGCAGAAGCGGGUAUAAUAAUACAAGACGAGAAGACCCUUUGGAGCUUAAGAUAAAAGACCAACUAUGUCAAAAGUCCUAAAAUAAGACUAAACCAAAUAGUACUGGUCCUAAUCUUCGGUUGGGGUGACCACGGGAGAAAACAAAGCUCCCAUGCGGACUGGGGUAAUUCCCUAAAACUAAGAAAGACAUCUCUAAGACGCAGAACAUCUGACCAUAAAGAUCCGGCUACAUGCCGACCAACGGACCAAGUUACCCUAGGGAUAACAGCGCAAUCCCCUUCCAGAGUCCAUAUCGACAAGGGGGUUUACGACCUCGAUGUUGGAUCAGGACAUCCUAAUGGUGCAGCCGCUAUUAAGGGUUC